UUUCCGGGAAAAAAUUGAUCAACUAAUUCACUGGAAAAAAGUGAAUUUUAUGUAUAUAUACAAUUUAACCUGAUCGUGUUUGAGAAACAAGUUAGAUCUGCAAUAAUGUGCGAAUUAAUUAAUUAAUAUAAAGUAAUACUAUGAAAUAUGGCUGAUAAGAAUUCAUGUGUAAAUCAUAAAUACCGCCACGAAUUUUUCGUAUCUACAAACGGCCAAUAGACGAGCGGAGCAGACUACAAUCCAUCGAUAACAAAAGUUGAGCAGCAUCGAGGCGGAACAUUAAUUGGACGGGUGACCCAUCCUGAAAAAUUAUGAUUUUAUAAAAUUCGACAAAAUUUUUAUAAAAUUUUACAAAAUUUUAUAAAAAUGAUUCUUCUCGGGUUUGGUCUUGUGAAAUUAAGAAUCUAGUACGUAACUCAAAUAAAUUUUCCAUCGUAAUUUUAUUUCUUAAUGCAGUAAAUUUGAUUGUUUGUGAGAUAAAUUUUACGUCUCAAACCAAAUUCAUCGCAAAAAAAACAUUUAUCAUCGGAAAGGUCGAAGAACACAAUAUAUAACAGUCAGCAAUUCGCAGAUCGAUCACAUACAAGCUUGCAGAACUUGAGAAAUCAACGAUCGUACUUUUUUGUCAUAGGGUAAAUACACCAAUAGAUGGACACCCCCCAAUAGAUGGACGAAUAUUAUUUUAAUAACCGAUUAAAUAAAAUUUAGGAAUGAAAAUGUAACAUAAAAAAUUUUUUUUUCAACUAUAUAUAUUCCUGAUAUUAGAAAAUAAUUUUUUUUCAAUUUAAUAUAUUUUAUAAUCAUAAAAAAAAUUAUUUUUAUUUGACGUGACGACGUUUUGCUUCAAAAGCGCCACCAUUACUAAGCAUCUGACAGACAACCGGUCAAAAACAAAUCAUACACCGUGUUAAUCGCAGUCAUAAAGUUUCCAUUCCUCAACAAUAAAAGUGUGCUCUUUAUCUCUUGAAUCUAUUAAACAUUUAACACGCGAGAUGGUCUCACUUAAAGUAAAAAUAAUUAUUUUAUUAUACUUUUUGUGUAUUUUUAAAAUCAAUGCUAAUGCCAGUGAUUCGUCUUCUUCAAAUGAAGAUUUAUCAGAACCAACUAAUAAAUCUGUCAAUAAAGAAGAUAGUUCUGAGUCAUCAGAAUCUGACGAAAUAAAUAAUGAAAAUGUAUCGAGUGAUCCAGAAUCCAAUGUAUCAGAUAUUAAUGCAACCACAGAACCUUAUAAAACAUCUAUAGAAAUGAGUAUGAUUGCUGUGCCAGAGCGUCCGAAACACGGAUCAGAAUGUCCACCCGGACAAAUUCACGAUCCACGGGGACAAUGCCGAGAAUUGAUAUAAUACGCCUGAACAAUAUAUGAAAAGUAUGUCAAACUAAUAAUCAAGUACAUGGAUAAAGUAAUUUAAAUAUUGUAAAGUUUUAUAUUGCGGCAUUUAAAUUGACAAUAAAAAAAUAUGACUAUUACAUCAAAGGGAUUGGAUAAUUUUUUUAUUAUUUCACGCAAAAAAAAUAAAUAAUAAAUUUUAUUCAGAUUUUCAUUCAUUUUUAUUGUUUGAACAAUAAACCCACAUCGAAGAAGACAUAGGUCAAUAACAAAUCAUACAUCAUGUUAAGCGUAAUCAUAAAGUUUCCAUUCCUCGAGAAUAAAAGUGUGCUCUUUAGCUCUUGAAUCUAUUAAAUAUUUAACACGCAAGAUGGUCUCACGUAAAGUAAAAAUAAUUAUUUUAUUAUACUUUUUGUGUAUUUUUAAAAUCAAUGCUAAUACCAGUGAUUCGUCUUCUUCAAAUGAAGAUUCAUCAGAAACAACUAGUAAAUCUGUCAAUAAACAAGAUAGUUCUGAGUCUUCAGAAACUGACGAAAAAAAUAAUGAAACUAUUUCAAGCGAUCCAAAAUCCAAUGUUUCGGAUAUUGAUCCAACCGGGGAAGAAGAAGAACGACAAAUUAUUGAUAUGCCACGACGUGUAAAACAUGGAUCGAAAUGUCCAUCCGGACAAAUCCGCGAUCCACAUGGAGAAUGCCAUGAAUUAUUAUAAUACGCCUGAAUAAUACAUGAAAAGUAUGUCAAACUAAUAAUCAAGUACAUAGAUAAAGUAAUUUAAAUCUUGUAAAGUUUUAUAUUGCGGCAUUUAAAUUGUUAAUAAAAAAAUAUGACUAUUACUAUUUUAAAUCAUCGUAUUAAAAAUGAAUAUAUUUUUAAAUGAGUGUAAAGAAUAUCAUGUAACUAUCUUAAUAGAUUUAAUAAAAUGACAUUUACACUUUUAUUUAAUUCUA